rnacentral:rRNA from 1 species
GAUGAACGCUGGCGGCGUGCCUAAUACAUGCCAGUCGAGCGAACGGACGAGAAGCUUGCUUUUCUGAUGUUAGCGGCGGACGGGUGAGUAACACGUGGAUAACCUACCUAUAAGACUGGGAUAACUUCGGGAAACCGGAGCUAAUACCGGAUAAUAUUUUGAACCGCAUGGUUCAAAAGUGAAAGACGGUCUUGCUGUCACUUAUAGAUGGAUCCGCGCUGCAUUAGCUAGUUGGUAAGGUAACGGCUUACCAAGGCAACGAUGCGUAGCCGACCUGAGAGGGUGAUCGGCCACACUGGAACUGAGACACGGUCCAGACUCCUACGGGAGGCAGCAGUAGGGAAUCUUCCGCAAUGGGCGAAAGCCUGACGGAGCAACGCCGCGUGAGUGAUGAAGGUCUUCGGAUCGUAAAACUCUGUUAUUAGGGAAGAACAUAUGUGUAAGUAACUGUGCACAUCUUGACGGUACCUAAUCAGAAAGCCACGGCUAACUACGUG